rnacentral:rRNA from 1 species
GACGAACGCUGGCGGCGUGCUUAACACAUGCAAGUCGAACGGUGAAGCGCCUUCCUUUUUGGUGGGUGUGGAUGAGUGGCGAACGGGUGAGUAACACGUGAGUAACCUGCCCCCUUCUUCUGGAUAACCGCAUGAAAGUGUGGCUAAUACGGGAUAUUCUGGGUCUGUCGCAUGAUGGGUCUGGGAAAGAUAUUGUUUCGGUGGGGGAUGGGCUCGCGGCCUAUCAGCUUGUUGGUGGGGUGAUGGCCUACCAAGGCGGUGACGGGUAGCCGGCCUGAGAGGGUGGACGGUCACACUGGGACUGAGACACGGCCCAGACUCCUACGGGAGGCAGCAGUGGGGAAUAUUGCACAAUGGGCGCAAGCCUGAUGCAGCGACGCCGCGUGAGGGAUGGAGGCCUUCGGGUUGUGAACCUCUUUCGCCAGUGAAGUAGGCCUGCCUCGUUUGUGGGUGGGUUGACGGUAGCUGGAUAAGAAGCGCCGGCUAACUACGUG